GAGGGUUAAGGAUAGAGGAAGCAAAUGCUUGUUCAACUUAAGUACUCUGUUAACCUUUUCUUUUUUUGCUGGAGCAGAGACCCUUCCCUCUUCAGGCCCCACAUUAUAAAUUUGUCUUGCCAACUACUUGCUGUAAUCUGACUCUAGUUUUAAUGAAAAUGGAGAGUGGAUAUGCAAUUUCACUGAAUCACCCUUGCAAUCCUUUUCCCCUGCCAGAAAUUCCAGUUUCCCCCCUAAGUAGGGGGCUGAGAACUGGGGGGAUUCUGAAAACCAUUCAAGGCCUCAGUCGCAGGUCACAUGCUCUCUCCACAGAGACCUUCACUCAGAAAGAACAGCUUGUUACCACAGAGAGAAAAGGCUUGGUCCCAGUUGAUGGCAUCUGUGUCAAGCAACAGUCUCCGGUAUGCAUCAAGAUCCCGAUAAAAUGCUGCAUAUAUAUUGUUAAAAGAAUCCGAAGUGUCAGAAACAGUCUAAAAGAGAGACAUACAGUUUAACAGAAAUAACAGCCUGCUACCGCAGAGAGCAAAGGUUUGGUCCCAGUUGAUGGCAUCUGUGUCUAGCAACAGUUUCCGGUACACAUCAAGAUCCCGAUAAAAUGCUGCAUAUAUGUUGCUCAAGAAAUCCGCAUUGUCUGAAACAGCCUAAAAGAGAGACAUACAAUUGAACAGUGGGAUGUGAUCCGGAUGAUCCAGAGUACUGUAAUCGGCCGAUUCUCCGAAUGAAAAAGAGGCGAGUCUGCUUCCAUAGAACGGGAGAUGAGUGCUUGCUUCAGGGGAAGCUUCUGCCGGCUGCAAGCCUCUCCCACCAGGUGGUGCUGAAGGAGAUCGCGGAGGAGCAGGGAUCGAGGGAGCUGUAAGGGAGA